UUAACAAUGUUUGUGAUAACUGUUUCAUGUAGCUUACGUCAGAUUAUCCUCACAGUUUGUUGAUUGACCUCAAAGUAACCGGACGCAUGGUAACACCAGCGACCAGGAUGUAAACAUCGUCACUGAAACUGUAACAGGUGCGUCACUUGAAUCUCAGCAUACGGUCUCUACUGAACUGCGGUUUCCAUGAUGACAAACAUGACCCAAUACGGAGUUCAUAUUCUGAUUCUUCUGGUCGAAUCACUCUUAUUAGUUUCCCCCGGUCU